UACGGAGGGUGCAAGCGUUAUCCGGAUUCACUGGGUUUAAAGGGUGCGUAGGCGGUCAGCACAAGUCAGUUGUGAAAUCUCCGGGCUUAACUCGGAAAGGUCAACUGAUACUGUGCGACUAGAGUGCGGAAGGGGCAACUGGAAUUCUUGGUGUAGCGGUGAAAUGCGUAGAUAUCAAGAGGAACACCUGCGGCGAAGGCGGGUUGCUGGGCCGACACUGACGCUGAGGCGCGAAAGCCAGGGGAGCGAACGGG
rnacentral:rRNA from 1 species